rnacentral:snRNA from 1 species
GUACUUGCUUUGGCAGUACAUAUACUAAAAUUGGAACGAUACAGAAAAGAUUAUCAUGGCCCCUGCGCAAGGAUAACAAGUAAAUUCGUGAAGCAUUCCAUAUUUUU